AUUAUAGGCGUGAGCCUGGCCUGGAACCUAUUUUUAAUAAAUGGAAGUGAAAUUCACGUAACAUAAAAUUAACUAAUUUGAAAUGAACAAUUCAGUGGUGCUUAGUACAUUUACAGCGUUGUGCAACUACCACCUCUCUUUAGUUGGAAAACAUUUUCAUCAUUCCCAAAGGAAACUCUGUAUCCAUUAAGCAGUCAUUCUCUACUCCCUCUUCUCCUUGGUAGUUAACUUAGGUACUACUGGGCUUUCUUGACUGAAGUCCCUGAAGAAGAAACAAAUAUUUUCCAGCUGGGCCACCACCUGUGACAAGUUGUCAUUUGCACGGGGCUGGGAUUCUGUUCUGGGGGCUGCAUCUGCCGUGUACGUUUCCAUAGCCACGGGCUGGCAUGGCAUCUGGCAUAUAGUAGGUGCUUACCACAUGUUUGUUGAAUGAAUGAAUGGAUGUUGGUGGUAACUACAUGCAGCUGAGUUAAACUGAGCCCAAGGAGAGAGAGGACCAAAUGCCUGCUGUAGUGGACACUGGUGUGUGCCCGGGUCCCCCUUCUACACAGAGGCAGUCACUCCCCAGCUGCUGGGAGAGCUGGUGGCUGAUGGUUUGUGCCCAGCUGAGUCCCUCUCUGGGCAUGGCCCCCUAGACCCCCUACCCCACGGGUCAGCACACCUCCAAAGACUGGUGAAUAUGGAGUACAAAAGCCCGGCCCCCUUUUCCCCAGGCAGGACAGCUCUGCUGUGCUACUUGAGCUCCAGAACUUUCCCCAGGGAUGACUGAGGCCUUUGUUGCGACUGCAUCUGCAUCGCAGCUCAACUCCUCUGCCUGGUCCUGCUGACCUCACUCCCACGCAGGUGCUGCCUCCAAGAGCACUCCCCAAUAAACCUGCUCACUCGUCCGUGGGCUUCCCUGGGAACCUGACUUGUUACUCUUCUCAAGCCAUAACCCUGUCAUUCGUCCAUUCAUUCAGUAAAUAUGUACUGAACAGCUAUGCCCCAGGCAUUGUUUUGGGAUCCAGCAGCAACCCCAGACAGACCAGGACUGUUUGUGUAGGGAUACUGGCCAUCGAGUUUUUAGAUUUCACCAAGACUGAAUCUCAUCAUCUCCAGCCCCACCAUGGCCAUGACACUCCUGGGAGGCCUGGCUGCUUCAGCUCCCUAGAGUGGCCCUUAGAAGGUGUGGACAGGUGUGGGGACAGGAAGGGAGCAGACCCAGGAGCCCAGGUCUGUGGAGUCAGGCAGACCCAGGUUCGAAUUCAGCUUAGUGCUUUUUUGCAUUUCCCUAGUGACUAAUGAUAUUGAGCAUCUUUUCAUGUGUUCACUGGCUUUUGUAUAUGGUGUUAGUCCACUUUUGUUGCUAUAAAGGAAUACCUGAGGCUAAGUAACUCAUAAAGAAAAGAGGUUCGGGCGCAGUGGCUCACACGUAUAACCCCAGCACUUUGGGAGGCCAAGGUGGGUAGAUCACUUGAGGUCAGGAGUUC
rnacentral:lncRNA from 10 species